rnacentral:tRNA from 1 species
UGGAGAGGUGGCAGAGUGGUCGAAUGCGCUCGACUUGAAAUCGAGUGAGGGUCAAACCUCCGUGGGUUCGAAUCCCACCCUCUCCGU